rnacentral:rRNA from 1 species
GACGAACGCUGGCGGCGUGCUUAACACAUGCAAGUCGAACGGAAAGGCCCUGCUUGCAGGGUACUCGAGUGGCGAACGGGUGAGUAACACGUGGGUGAUCUGCCCUGCACUUCGGGAUAAGCCUGGGAAACUGGGUCUAAUACCGGAUAGGAGCCAUUUUUAGUGUGAUGGUUGGAAAGUUUUUUCGGUGUAGGAUGAGCUCGCGGCCUAUCAGCUUGUUGGUGGGGUAAUGGCCUACCAAGGCGACGACGGGUAGCCGGCCUGAGAGGGUGGACGGCCACAUUGGGACUGAGAUACGGCCCAGACUCCUACGGGAGGCAGCAGUGGGGAAUAUUGAACAAUGGGCGCAAGCCUGAUGCAGAGACGCCGCGUGGGGGAGGACGGCCUUAGGGUUGUAAAAUCCUUUCGCUAGGGACGAAGCUUUUUGUGACGGUACCUAGAUAAGAAGCACCGGCUAACUACGUG